rnacentral:lncRNA from 1 species
GAACCUCCCCUCCCCCGCCGGGGCCUGGGCGCGCCUGCCCUUCGCUCCCCGACCUCCUGCUGCAGCUCUGGGCCCCUGGGCCGCUCCCUCCCCUCCUCCCUUGCUCACCCCACGGUUGGCCGCGGGUCUCCGGCACGCCGCCCCCGCCCUCGGCGUCCCGAAGCGCCUGCCAGGGUCGCCGAGCCGCCCCUGCCUCCUGGCCGCCUCUGCAGUGCCGUCCUCCCGGGGCUGACUCUCUCCCCAGGCCCCUGCUGUGGCCACCCAGGCACUUUCCGCCCUGAGCGUGGCAGCUGCUGCCGGGGGUCCUGGGACCGCGGGAUGGGAACUCCCACGCAGCGUCCCACAGGCUCCUGGCCGCCGCGAGCCCGCGCGACUCGCACGAGCAGGUCCAUCCGCAGCGAGGGGCCGGUCACUGCUACGGAGCCCGCCAGAGGGCAAAGCCCCAGACAGCAAAUAGGGAGGCGGCUGUCCCUCCAGCGUGCCAAAGGCUGCUAAUGGACAGCCGCUCCUGCCACUCUGAUGUUGCUAGACCUCCUCAGCACUCAGCCCAAGGCAGCCAGGAAGAAUGAACGAAUGGUGAUUCAGAGGGAAAGGAGGAAGCUGCGUGGCAUUUCAGAGAUACUUAUUUUAAAACUGCUGGUGGCCAUGUCUUCUUUUCAUAUCAGAGCUAAUGAGUUUUGAUAUGUGAACAUUUCUUCUCCUUCAUAGGUAAUGUGUUGAUUUGGCACUUUAAUCUUAGAAUAAUCAUUUCUAAAACCAACCCAACUGCUUUUCUUUACAAUUUUGGCCUUAGCAAACAGAUGAGUCCGUUGACUUGAGCAUUGCUUGGGCACUGUCUGUGUGCAGGUCAGGCAGGGGAUGCUGGUGGCUGGGAAACAUAGAGGAUGGAGGUGUCUUGGGUGUACAUGAAGGGGUGGGGUCAAGUCCACAGGGGGUCGGCCCCUGGCAGCACACCUCGCAGGGGCUGGUAUGGUGGUGGCUCAGGUGGGAGGAAGAGAGACCUCAGGGAAAAUAACAGGUUCCAUUGACAGGAGGCCUGCUAGGCCAGGGGGAUGCCUGACCAACAGGUGUGUUGGCCAGGGUCCCUGUAGCAAAAACACGGAGCUGAGGACCUCAUGGCAGGGACCCCAUGCGGAGGGAGCCGCGGGUGGCAUGGGGAUAGUCACCUGGCUCUCCUGCUCUCGGCCUCCUGCAGCUCCCCUCACUCCCUGCCCUGCCACACAAGGUCAAACCCACCAGGAGUCAGAAGGCGAAGGGCGAGCUCCCAGGGUGAGGAGCAGGGAGGAGACGGUGGCAGCAGGGAAGGUGAUGCCUGCUGCAGAGUGAGACCUGGGACUGCCAAACACACAGUGACGGGAGCAUCCGGGAGCUGAGGAGGCCUGCCGGGGGAGGAAGACAGUGGCUGGCAGUGACAGGAAGGGAGGGUCAGCAUGGGGCGGCAGUCCCAGAGCUCAGGGCUCCCUGCCAGGCCAGCCUUUGUAGCCUGUGGGGUGGAGGUGGCAAUUGCUGUCAUGUCAUAAACACGUCAAGCUUACAAUGAAAUCUCCAGUGUGGCUUGGGAGCAAAUACAUGUGCAGGUGUUUGAGUAUCUGUGCUCUUACCUAACCUCAGGGAGCAGGAAAACGAAAGCUUAUCAUGUAAACACAUCAGCAGUAGGGCUUAUGUGUGUCUCCACAUUGGAACCCCCAAGACAGAGACUGGAGGCAGAGUUGAUUUCCAAGCCCAGAGUGCUGGGCAGCCUUUGGGUUUUAUGUCUGCUUGCUUGGAGCUCAGUGAUAGAAAUCUAGGCCCCAGAAGAGGAAAGGACUGUCCUGCAUAACCAGCACACCCGGGGAAUAGAAGAGCCAGCCCUUCCCUCCUGGGGUCUACACCAUCCCCUAAGGGACCUCAGACUGGGCUGAUGGAAGGUCUUAAGCAGGCCAUGUGAAGGGCAUUGCACAGGAAACAGAAACAGGGGAAUCCUGUAAGGUCAGCAGAGCUCUGAGCCCUUUGUUCUUGGGCCUGUUUUUAUGAUCCUCCCUCUCCAUGUAGCUCACACUUCCCUGCUCCUGUGCAGGCACCGGGUGAGGGGGUUGUCAUGGCCUCCUGCCACUCUUGAGGCUGUCAGAUAUUACCUGUGCUGUCCCUGCAUUCUCAAGCUCCAAAUUGUCAACUAAGAAAUGGUCACUUAAAAGCUGGAUACUUGUGCUCCCUUCAUCGAGAUGAGAAUGUGAACACACAGAGGCAAAGCGGCCCAUACGAGGUCACAGUGAGAGAGGGUGCCGUGGAGUCAGAACGCACAGCAGGGACCCGCAGGAGACACUGUGUGCCUCUGCUUUGCGCUUUGUGAUCACACGUCAUGGCCAGGCUGGGGUUUUCCACCCUUUGUCCGUUAUUCCCAUCUUAGUUUGAGGUCAGAGGCCUGCAGGACUUAUUUC